CAUCAGUAGUUAUGACUUUACACAUGCACCCUUUUCCCCAACCCAUUGCUGACACACAAACUCUUUUAAGACAGGGGCACUGUUUUUUUUUUAUUGUCUCCUGUCCUAACACAAUGCAUAGAAAAAAUACUUGAUAAAACCUCACUGAAUGAAUGAAUGUCAAAGGCUGAAUUCAUGAAUUCUAGGGACGUGUUCUACAAUAGUAAUGAUGAUGAUGCUUCUAGGACACUGCAAUCUCUCCCUCAUAAGUGAGCACCUCGGAUUUAACUGUCCAGCAUCAUUUGGAGCACAGGGCGGAGGAUUAUACCGAGGAACCACACCCAUGUCAUUUGAAUUGUCCACAAGACCACUAUAAGGACUUUCCAGGACCAUCACAAGGCUGCAAACCGCAUUUGAAGUGCUGCUUCUGGGGCAUUCUUUCCAAAGAGCCUUUUAGCAGGGCAGGGAGUGAAAGGUGAGGACAAGCCUAGGAAAUACAUAAUCCAAGGCUAGGGAGAUAGAAGCUUAAUAUUUACUGCCGUGCCUGGGAAAAGUGAGGCUUGUCGUUGUCAUCUGGGCAAUUCUCCCUCGGACUAGCUCCUCUCUGUGGCCUCCUGGGGUAACUAAUGUCUUCCAGCAGCACUUCUUGCUCCAGGAAUCUGGAAUCUUAGCUGAGUGCUAUGAAGACGGUUCUGAUUAAUUGAUACACUUAAGCAUUACCAGGUGCUCUGCUGAAACCGGUAGGAUGAACACCUUCCGAACAGGCUGCAUUCCUCCCGAGGAAACUGAAGAGUGUAACCUCACAGUGAAAUUCCCCCCAAGUCUUUGGCUCUGCAGGAAGCUUCUGGCUAUUUUUCAGGAGAUGCGUUUGCUGCAGGAGGAGUUGGUACCAGUCUUCAGUUCUCAGCCUGUAGGCCCCUGACAUGGGGCACUACUCUGUACAGUUCCAGAAACCAACAACAGCCAUUUAGCAGGAGUGUUGAAACUGCAGAUUGUUCUCCACUGUUCUUCACUGUGGCUGUGUUUGGAACUACCAAAUACUAAUCCUCAGAACUUGGUCUUGGACCUGGUUAUAAAUCUCAUUCCUGCAACUCUGAACAGUGUGAUCUUGGGAGAGUUACUUAAUUUUUCUGAGUCUCAGUUUUUCUUAUCUAUAAAAUGAAGUUAGUAAUAGUAUGGACUUCAUAUAACGUAUGUGAUGAUUAAAUUACAGAGCACAUGUAAUGUGUGUAGCACAAUGCGUGGUACAUAACUAGGCCUCAACAAAUGGCCCAACAAUGUGUUGUUGGUCUAGGGUGGGAGACAGUAAUCUCCCUUUGACUGUCAUUAUCUUUUGACUGGGAAGAUUGGGUAGGCAACAAUGUUGCCUGUUUGCUGUACUUAGCUCUACUUUACUUUUUAUUUUUUUAUUUUUUUGAGACAGAGUCUCACUCUGUCACCCAGACUGGAGUGCAAUGGCACAAUCUUGGCUCACCACACCCUCCAUCUCCCAGAUUCAAGCAAUUCUCCUGCUUCAGCCUCUCAAGUUGCUGGGAUUACAGGCAUGUGCCACCAUGCCCAGCUAAUUUUUUGUAUUUUUAGUAGAGACAGCGUUUCACCAUGUUAGCCAAGCUGGUCUCAAACUCCUGACUUCAGGUGAUCCACCCACCUCAGCCUCCCAAAGUGCUGGGAUUACAGCUGUGAGCCACCGCACCCAGCCGUCUACUUCAUUCUUGCUUGGUUGUUUGCUUCCUGCUCUCACCAAAUUGUAAAGCUCACUGAGGACAUGAACUAAGAUUCUGUGGCCAACAGGGUCUUUCUAUAUAGUAGAUAGUCAAUAAAUAUUUGUAGAUGGAUGCAUGGAUAUUUUUUCAACUGACUAUUUGAAUAUGACUUCUGAUACAUAUGAGUAUCAGUACCCAGGGAAUACAUGAUCCAAGGCUGGGGAGACAUGGGCUUAAUAUUUACUAACAUUUUCCCUUACCUGCCACCUGCUUCUCUUGAGACAUUAAAUCCAAAGGCUAUAAAUCCUGCUGCUUUGCAUGGCUGGGUUAGAUUGCAUAUGAGAAUUUUGCAAAGCAAAAAAGAUACAUCACACCAACUGGCCUCUCAAUGUAUGCUCCCCUCAAAAGGCUUUCAAGCCAAAAAUCCCUAAGCAGUAAUUAUGUGCAAGGCAAAG
rnacentral:lncRNA from 1 species